rnacentral:rRNA from 1 species
GACGAACGCUGGCGGCGUGCCUAAUACAUGCAAGUCGAGCGGAUCUUCAUUAGCUUGCUUUUGAAGAUCAGCGGCGGACGGGUGAGUAACACGUGGGCAACCUGCCUGUAAGACUGGGAUAACUUCGGGAAACCGGAGCUAAUACCGGAUAAUCCUUUUCCUCUCAUGAGGAAAAGCUGAAAGACGGUUUCGGCUGUCACUUACAGAUGGGCCCGCGGCGCAUUAGCUAGUUGGUGAGGUAACGGCUCACCAAGGCGACGAUGCGUAGCCGACCUGAGAGGGUGAUCGGCCACACUGGGACUGAGACACGGCCCAGACUCCUACGGGAGGCAGCAGUAGGGAAUCUUCCGCAAUGGACGAAAGUCUGACGGAGCAACGCCGCGUGAGCGAAGAAGGCCUUCGGGUCGUAAAGCUCUGUUGUCAGGGAAGAACAAGUACCGGAGUAACUGCCGGUACCUUGACGGUACCUGACCAGAAAGCCACGGCUAACUACGUGCCAGCCGCCGCUGUAA